AGUAAAUAAAGGCAACAGUAGUAUACCGCUGUUCAAACUCAUAAAUCCAUGGACAAAAAACAAAAUCGGGGUAACAAACUAAAACUGAGGGAAACGCAUAAAUAUAAGAGGAGAACAACGACACAACACUACAAUGUAACUAACACACACAGAAACGGAUCAAGCAUCAGACAAAAUCCCACGAGAAUAACAAAUAUAAAAUCAAAACCAAACACAUGAAUUUGGGAUAGACAAGUACCGUGACACGUCUUAUCGCAAUGUCAAUUUACA
rnacentral:lncRNA from 1 species